rnacentral:rRNA from 1 species
UGAACGCUGGCGGCAGGCCUACCACAUGCACGUCGAGCGGUAGAGAGAAGCUUGCUUCUCUUGAGAGCGGCGGACGGGUGAGUAAUGCCUAGGAAUCUGCCUGGUAGUGGGGGAUAACGUUCGGAAACGGACGCUAAUACCGCAUACGUCCUACGGGAGAAAGCAGGGGACCUUCGGGCCUUGCGCUAUCAGAUGAGCCUAGGUCGGAUUAGCUAGUUGGUGGGGUAAUGGCUCACCAAGGCGACGAUCCGUAACUGGUCUGAGAGGAUGAUCAGCCACACUGGAACUGAGACACGGUCCAGACUCCUACGGGAGGCAGCAGUGGGGAAUAUUGGACAAUGGGCGAAAGCCUGAUCCAGCCAUGCCGCGUGUGUGAAGAAGGUCUUCGGAUUGUAAAGCACUUUAAGUUGGGAGGAAGGGCAGUAAAUUAAUACUUUGCUGUUUUGACGUUACCGACAGAAUAAGCACCGGCUAACUCUGUG